AACAAUUCGCGCGGUGAUGGUUCCCCGCAGAGGGGAGCAAGAGGGAACACGGUGCGGCGUACCCAUCAGGGACCAAGUCCGUGGCUGCCCCCGCAACUGUAGGCGCAGAGCCUGAGGCCCGAUCGCAUGCCACUGGGAAACCGGGAAGGCAGGGCCGCAACGGCAGUGACGCGCAAGCCAGGAGACCUGCCAUCGCCAUCGUCACCCUG
rnacentral:ncRNA from 2 species